UACGUAGGUGACAAGCGUUGUCCGGAUUUACUGGGCGGAAAGAGCGCGCAGGCGGUCGAUCAAGUCGAGUGUGAAAGCCCCCGGCUCAACUGGGGAGGGUCAUUCGAUACUGAUCGACUCGAAGGCAGGAGAGGGUAGUGGAAUUCCCGGUGUAGUGGUGAAAUGCGUAGAGAUGCGGAGGAACACCGAUGGCGAAGGCAGCCCCCUGGGCUAGCACUGACGCUCAGGCACGAAAGCGUGGGGAGCAAACAGG
rnacentral:rRNA from 1 species